CGCUGCAAGACACAUAGCGGGGAAGCCCAGGGGUCCACGGACGCCAUCUGUUCUUUAACUGUGGGGGUCUGGGGAUGGAGCUGACGAGAGGACUUCUUAAGGAGCAUUCGGGUGGGGCAGAGCCACGUGUGGUCUUGCGUGUGUAGCCAUGGCCACGCCGCGAGGACAGCUUCCUCUUCACCUGGAUGAAGACGCCCCCAGCUACGGCACACCAGGGCCUGAAAGGACCCUCAGAUGUCAUUCCAUGGACACUCCUGGAGCAGGAGGGUCUUAGUAGCCACUCUCAGAAUCAUCUCAUCACAGAAGACUAGACUGGACGUGCCUGUAGAAAUCUGGCCCAAGCCCCGUUUCACAGCGCACAUGCCCGAUAGUAAAAAAAUCUCUUUAAAAAAAAUCUUGGGGGAAGCUGACCAGUCUCAUGGCCUAGGAGUUAAAGAAGCUGGAUCCUACAUGACUGACGAUGUAGUUCAAGUCCCAGCCUCGGCUGCUUGAAAAUCCCAUCAGGAACAUGUGCAUACAUACCUCAAAUUCCAACAGGUCGGAGAAAUG